rnacentral:rRNA from 1 species
UACAGGGUGACAGCCCCGUACACAAAAAUGCACAUGCUGUGAGCUCGAUGAGUAGGGCGGGACACGUGGUAUCCUGUCUGAAUAUGGGGGGACCAUCCUCCAAGGCUAAAUACUCCUGACUGACCGAUAGUGAACCAGUACCGUGAGGGAAAGGCGAAAAGAACCCCGGCGAGGGGAGUGAAAAAGAACCUGAAACCGUGUACGUACAAGCAGUGGGAGCACGCUUAGGCGUGUGACUGCGUACCUUUUGUAUAAUGGGUCAGCGACUUAUAUUCUGUAGCAAGGUUAACCGAAUAGGGGAGCCGAAGGGAAACCGAGUCUUAACUGGGCGUUAAGUUGCAGGGUAUAGACCCGAAACCCGGUGAUCUAGCCAUGGGCAGGUUGAAGGUUGGGUAACACUAACUGGAGGACCGAACCGACUAAUGUUGAAAAAUUAGCGGAUGACUUGUGGCUGGGGGUGAAAGGCCAAUCAAACCGGGAGAUAGCUGGUUCUCCCCGAAAGCUAUUUAGGUAGCGCCUCGUGAAUUCAUCUCCGGGGGUAGAGCACUGUUUCGGCAAGGGGGUCAUCCCGACUUACCAACCCGAUGCAAACUGCGAAUACCGGAGAAUGUUAUCACGGGAGACACACGGCGGGUGCUAACGUCCGUCGUGAAGAGGGAAACAACCCAGACCGCCAGCUAAGGUCCCAAAGUCAUGGUUAAGUGGGAAACGAUGUGGGAAGGCCCAGACAGCCAGGAUGUUGGCUUAGAAGCAGCCAUCAUUUAAAGAAAGCGUAAUAGCUCACUGGUCGAGUCGGCCUGCGCGGAAGAUGUAACGGGGCUAAACCAUG